rnacentral:rRNA from 1 species
UACGAAGGGGGCUAGCGUUGUUCGGAAUUACUGGGCGUAAAGGGUGCGUAGGCGGCUUUGUAAGUCGGGGGUGAAAGCCUGUGGCUCAACCUCAGAAUUGCCUUCGAUACUGCAUGGCUUGAGACCGGAAGAGGUAAGUGGAACUGCGAGUGUAGAGGUGAAAUUCGUAGAUAUUCGCAAGAACACCAGUGGCGAAGGCGGCUUACUGGUCCGGUUCUGACGCUGAGGCGCGAAAGCGUGGGGAGCAAACAGG